GAGCGGUAACGCGGGAGCAAUCCUGGCGACGAGCGGCGAACGGGUGAGUAACGCUUCGGAAUCUACCCAGUAGUGGGGAAUAACCAGCCGAAAGGUUGGCUAAUGCCGCAUACGACCCCUUUCCUUACUGGAGAGGGUUGAAAGCGGGGGAUCGUAAGACCUCGCGCUAUCGGAUGAGCCGAAGUCGGAUUAGCUAGUUGGUAGGGUAACGGCCUACCAAGGCGACAAUCCGUAGCUGGUCUGAGAGGACGACCAGCCACACUGGGACUGAGACACGGCCCAGACUCCUACGGGAGGCAGCAGUGGGGAAUAUUGGACAAUGGGGGCAACCCUGAUCCAGCGACGCCGCGUGUGUGAAGAAGGCCUGCGGGUUGUAAAGCACUUUUAGUGGGGAUGAAAAGCUCAAGGCUAAUAUCCUUGAGUCUUGACCUAACCCACAGAAAAAGCACCGGCUAACUCUGUG
rnacentral:rRNA from 1 species